GGAGGGACGCUCCGACCGCGGCCGGGAGGCUCCUGGGGGCCGAGGCUCCGAGCUUGCCUGGGACCAGUGGCAGGGACCCUGGAACCUGAAGGUGCUGACAAAGAUGACCUGCUGCUGUUGAGUGAGAUCUUCAAUGCUUCCUCCCUGGAAGAGGGCGACUUCAGCAAAGAGUGGGCCGCUGUGUUUGGAGACGGCCAAGUGAAGGAGCCAGUGCCCACUAUGGCCCUGGGAGAGCCAGACCCCAAGCCCCAGACAGGCUCAGGUUUCCUUCCUUCGCAGCUUUUAGACCAAAAUAUGAAAGACUUACAGGCCUCGCUACAAG
rnacentral:sRNA from 1 species